AGAGAGAGAAUCUGUCUUCACUAUUUACACCAAGAUAUUUUCUUAUUAUAGGAAAGGGACAAGAUUAAAUAAUGAGAAAGGGAGAGGAAUGGGAACACAGAGUGAAAAAAGAUGCAUUCCCCAAUAAUCUCCUUAAUUUCAGGAUCAUGUACUUUUUCAAAGCUGGCUGGUUUGAUACCCUGCAAAGAUACAGACACAGCUGGAAGAGAUUUCAGAGGUAACUGAAUCCAACCUUUUCAUCUUAAACAUGAAAAAGCUAAAACCAGAAUUGAUUCAUGAUAUGGUGAGAAGUGACCAGCUGGCUUAUAGGUAAAACUGCUCUAUAAAUAGAUGUUCUUUCUUAUCCCUGUCAUCUUUGAACAGUAUUAAAUGAUAACUUUAUGGGAACAAUGAAACAUCUUGUCUACUAAUUCCUAAAAAAUGAAAAAUUUAGCUACUAGCCUUUAUGAAAAGAGGAAAACAUUUUCACCCCAAAGUCAAAAACACUUUUCAGGGACAUUUCUACAUCACUGCUUUUCUUCCGUAAGUCAGAGCAUCAAUGUAACAUAGUGUCCUUUAGAGGGGAAUGGAAAGUACUCUUCCUAGAGGGAAUUUCUAGGAAGGAAUCUCACAGAAAGCAAACUCCAGAGGAUAUUUAACCAUGAUGACUUCAUCUAGUGUCAACACUAAGGACAGAUAUCUUACAAUACAAACAAGUCCCAGAAUCUUUCAGGGGUAAAAGGGAUAAAGAGGGCAGACAGUAGUUCUCCCUCAUCAUAAUGAUUAAUAAAGAAGAAAUAUAGUUUUGCAAAUCCUUUUUUGUUCUUCUAAAACUGUAACAGGUUAAAAAAAAAAGAAAUAGCACAAAAAAGAAACAGCGAUUUAGUGGAAUAACCCAAAGAAAAUAAGUAUCAGAGAACUCUAAAAUUCCCAACUCUCUUAGCUUGGGGAGUGGAGGAGAAGAAGAGUCAAGCAAAUAAAUACUACAAUACUCCAACUAAUUUAGCACUCCCACUUUUUGAGCCUCUGUUUUUGCCUUUGUAAAAUGAGAAGGUUGGUGACAUAUAUAUAUGUAAUCCCAGCCCCUGGAGAAUUUGAAGCUGGUGGAUCUUCUGUGCUUGGAGGUUUUGAAUUGUAAACUCUGAUAAGUGGUGAUAAGAUCCCAAAGCCUAAGGGGGCCUUAGGAGGGUUGAGUUGGUCGAGGUCAGAAAAAAAAAAUGAAGUCAGAUCUCCCCUGUGACUAAGUAGUGGAAAUUUAGCCUAUGUACUUUCAUCCUCGGAGAGAGAGGAGGACCUACUAGUCAUCCAUCAGUUCAUACAUACAUAUGAAGUAUAUACAUGGCUACAUGAAUAGAGGCAGCUAGGUGACUGGAUCACUGGACCUGGAGUAGGAAUUCUCAAGUUCAAAUAUACCGUCAGACAUUUCUAGCUGUGGAACUGUAGGUAAGCCAUUUAACCUGUUUGCUUCAGUUCUGCCAACUGUAAAAUGGAGAUAAUAAAAACACAUUUCUAGGGUUGUAGGAGGAUUAAAUGAGAUAAUAUUUGUAAGGUGUUUAAUAUAAUGCCUGAUGCACAAAAGGUAUUACAUAAAAGCUAGCUAUUAUUAUUGUUAACUUGGUAGAUAAAGGGAUAGAUAAUAGAUAAAACAAAAAAAAAAAAUGAGGAGGAUUGAAAUGGACCUAUAAAAGCCCUUUUCACUAACAUCCUAAAAGUAAAAUUCUGUGAAACCGAUUUAAGUCCAAAAAUGGCAGCAUUUUUGCCAGAUAUAGAACAGAAGUUGGCCUAUUUUAGUGCUGGUCUCUCAUCUAAUAUGUUACUAGUUCAAGGUAUAAAUCCUGUGAUGGUCCCUAAGGCCCCAGGAAAAUGAAAAGAGGAAAAA